rnacentral:lncRNA from 1 species
CCUGUGUGCCUGGGGCCUACACGCAAUGGCUAGGCCACUACUGCCUCGGGUAAUAUGCCACCAUCACCUUGGCGGUGUGCCGCCGCUGCCGGUGGAAGAGACCUUCCUCCCUCGUUUUUCAUGUCGAAUAUUUUUUUCUCUCUUUCUUUACCAAUUUUACCACUUGGCGCAAAUCAAAUAGUUCAUAAUUUCUAUAAAUAGGCCUUCCCUUCUCAUUCUUUCUCACACUUCCAUUCUUCCAUUUUUCAAGAUUUAUAGAGAGAGAAAGAGUGA